rnacentral:lncRNA from 1 species
UAUAUAUAUUUUUUAAACAUGUAAUUUUCAAGAUAAUUAAUUCUAUACUAAAAAAGAAAAUGCAUUAUGAAGAGCAUCAUGUAAUUUCGAAAUAAAUUAAGGGGGUUUUGAUUACCUCAUCGUUGAAUGUCGUUAAGGCAUAGUUUGCCACCUUGCCUUUCUUGAUUUUCUCCUCGUCUUCGGAGGAGCUCGAUUCAUCCCACUUUAUGUUCUUCUUCUUUGGCCUCUUCCUUCGUUCAAGUUUAUUAUUUAUUUUAGAUUUUU